UACGUAGGGUGCAAGCGUUGUCCGGAAUUAUUGGGCGUAAAGAGCUCGUAGGCGGUCUGUUGCGUCGGCUGUGAAAACCCGGGGCUCAACCCCGGGCCUGCAGCCGAUACGGGCAGACUAGAGUUCGGCAGGGGAGACUGGAAUUCCUGGUGUAGCGGUGAAAUGCGCAGAUAUCAGGAGGAACACCGGUGGCGAAGGCGGGUCUCUGGGCCUUGCCUGACGCUGAGGCGCGAAAGCUAGGGGAGCGAACAGG
rnacentral:rRNA from 1 species